CAGUCGCCGCGGGAAAACCAGCAGCCCAAGUGGUGGUCGCGUUUAUUGGGCCUAAAGCGCUCGUAGCCUGACCGGUAAGUUCCCCGUGAAAUCGGGUCGCCCAACGAUUCGGCUUGCGGGGAAUACUGUCGGUCUUGGGGCCGGGAGACGCCGAGGGUACUCCGGGGGUAGCGGUGAAAUGCUGUAAUCCUCGGGGGACUACCAGUGGCGAAGGCACUCGGUGAUAACGGGCCUGACGGUGAGGGGCGAAAGCUGGGGGCGCGAACGGGAUUAGAUACCCCCGUAGUCCCUGUCUCUUAUU
rnacentral:rRNA from 1 species